ACUCAACACAUGGAAACGACUUUGUUCAGAUAGAAGGUUACGUGCAAUGGAAGGAUGUUAGUUACUAUUUGGAAGAUACUCCGGUUUUUGGUCUUGCCGGUUGAUUGGGAGAUUUCGUUCAAUGGACAACCUUACAAAUAACUCGUUCGGGGCUCGAAAUCCAGUUUCGUUCGAGGGAAUUUCUAUUGGAACACAGACACGAAGCGGCAUUCUGACAGACUCAAGCGGCAAGGAGGUAGGUGAAUCAUCUUAGAGCAGGGAAAGAAGUAAGGAAUAGAUUAGUACGCAUUUGCAAAG